UACGGAGGGGACUAGCGUUGUUCGGAAUUACUGGGCGUAAAGCGCACGUAGGCGGCUUUGUAAGUCAGGGGUGAAAUCCCGGGGCUCAACCUCGGAACUGCCUUUGAUACUGCAAAUCUCGAGUCCGGAAGAGGUGAGUGGAAUUCCUAGUGUAGAGGUGAAAUUCGUAGAUAUUAGGAAGAACACCAGUGGCGAAGGCAGCUCUCUGGGACGGUACUGACGCUGAGACGCGAAAGCGUGGGGAGCGAACAGG
rnacentral:rRNA from 1 species